AUUGAACGCUAGCAGGAUGCCUUACACAUGCAAGUCGAACGGAGUGGCGAACGGGUGAGUAAUGUAUCGGAACGUGCCCAGUAGCGGGGGAUAACUACGCGAAAGCGUAGCUAAUACCGCAUACUCUUGGAGCGGCCGAUAGCGGAGUAGCUAGUUGGUGGGGUAACGGCUCACCAAGGCGACGAUCCGUAGCUGGUUUGAGAGGACGACCAGCCACACGGUGACUCAGACGCGCCCCAGAAUCCUGUGUGACGCAGAAGUGGGGAAUUUUGGACAAUGGGGGAAACCCUGAUCCAGCCAUCCCGCGUGUGCGAUGAAGGCCUUCGGGUUGAAGCACUUGUGGCAGGAAAGCGGUACCUGCAGAAUAAGCACCGGCUAACUACGUGCCAGCAGCCGCGGUAAUAC
rnacentral:rRNA from 1 species